rnacentral:misc_RNA from 1 species
GAUGAAGAACGCAGUGAAAUGCGAUAAGUAAUGUGAAUUGCAGAAUUCAGUGAAUCAUCGAAUCUUUGAACGCACCUUGCGCCCUUUGGCCAUUCCGAAGGGCAUGCCUGUUUGAGUAUCAUGAACACCUCAACUCUUCAUGGUCUUCUAUGAUGAGCUUGGACUUUGGGGGCUUGCUGGCCCAUUUGGUCAGCUCCUCUCAAAUAAAUCAGCCUACCAGUGUUUGGUGGCACCACAGGUGUGAUAACAAUCUACGCUUGAGGUUUUCCACCAGGCAACCUUCAGUAAUUGGGGUUCACUGGGGCUCACAAAUGUCUUUCUUCAGUGAGGACAGCUCUUUGAAUGUUUGAUCUCAAAUCAGGUAGGACUACCCGCUGAACUUAAGCAUAUCAAUAAGCGGAGGA